UUUAUUUUCUCCGACCCCAAGCUUUUUAGUCCUAGCCUUGGAAUUAUAUCCUUGUAGCUUACCCCUCUUAUUACCAUUGUUUUGUUUUAAACAACCCAAGGUAACAUGUCAAAGCUCAAUCAAUUCCUAGUGGUCCAUCCACUCAAGUGUAAGAAAAAAAAAACAAAUAUUACAAUUUGCUGCUACGGUCAUGGCUGUCAAAUAUUUCAUCUGAUAAUGAAGGUUCCAGGAUGUCGGCAACUCCCACAAGUCUCCCCAUUAUUGACAUACCUAACCUUAACUUCCUGUGUGCCUGGACCUCUGGACUGAGCCAUGGCUAACUAUGGUGCAAAAUUUGGUGGUUCCUGUAGACCUGAAGAAGAAGAAGAAGAAAACGUGGGAGCAGAAAUAUCCCUUUCCGCAAACGGUGCCACCCUGACAUACCUGCUGUAACCUGUUGCAGAGGUCAAGGAAGGGGAGCUUUUUAGAGUUGCAAUGGUGGACUGUGAUGGAGGUAUAAUAAAAAAUAACGACUCCGCAGAUGAUGUCAAGCAUGCUGAUCCAUACAUGGCGUGAGUUCAAUUUUAAUUUCUUUCUGUUUUCCAAAUUCUACUGCAUAUAUAAUUGCCAGUGUUUAAAGAUCAAUAACCUCCUUGAUAAGCCCUCAGUAACUGUAGUUGUCCUGAAGAUCAGACAAUGGUCAACGUGUUAGAAGCACAAGUUUUCUUCUGAACAUCAAGGGUAACCAAGUUAAACGAAAAUGGGGACCAUUUGGAAGGAUUGUCACUCCCAUUUGUCAGCCAGUAAUUGUAUGGGAGUUAAACCUCCUUCUCCAAUGGAUGCCAUUUGGAUAGACUGACAAUUCUGCAACAAGUAUCUCCAUGAUCUACCACUCCCAGUGGCAUUCCAAGACUAAUAAAAGCCAAUAGACAGGAUGAAGAAGCGCUGGGUGUAAGCUCUACAACUUACAUCCUUGGUUGCAGGGUAGAUGUUGCGAACUGGAGAGAAGGCCCAUUAUCUCAGUGGACCAAUAUAAUUUGUGGACAAAGACGGUAUACCAGCCAAGCAAGGCCACCGUCUGGCAGUGAAAAUAUGUAACCUGGGUCCUCUGCCUGGGGAUGAAUGAGACUAUACCGCAACAUUUGACAGAGAAAAUGGAGGACGUUGUUUGGCCGACCAUUUUCCUUGUGUGCCUAAAGCUAUUUGGUACCUGGAAGGGAUUUUUGCCAACUCUCCUCAUGUAGCCGGUGAAUUUUCAUCCCAUUACCCUACGUUAAAACCAAUUAAUCAUUUCAAAGUAUCUUAAAUUAAGUUACAAUGGUGGUCGAAAGUGACUUCAAGAAUGCUGUCCAGUGGAUUAAUGCACCCGAGAAAGCCCCAUGGAGAAUGAGAGAGUGGAUCCUCCACAUCGAGAUGUUAAAAAGAAAAGUUGUUCAAUGGGAGGUACAGCAUAUCUUCAGGGAAGCCAACCAACAAGCUGAUAACUUGGCAAAAACAGGGAUAAGAAGGGUUGAAAAUCUGCUCAACGUUUGGGGGGAGGCAUCAAAUAACGACGCUAGAGCCUGAUGACAGUUGUUUCAUUGUUCAACUUUUUUCUUCAGCUGUUGUUGCAGAGGAUCUUUAUAAAGGGGCGGUUUCGCCUUUUCAAAAAAAAAAAUAAAAAUUAAGUUACUACAAUCAUGCACAAAAAUCGAAAACAGUUCAGUGGCUAACGAAGUUACAUAGAAGGGGGUGAGAUUUUCAGGUUUGCCUCACCCUGGAGUGAUUGGAACUGCACCAUCGUGGAACUCCUGAAUAUUGGGAAUGAGAGAGAAAGAGAAGUUGCAGAAAAUAGCCUAAGGUACCAAGAACUAUGCGAAGUUUUGCAUUCGCGACCAUUGGCAAACCUGCCAUGCACAAAAAGCUACCUAUUGGGGAAGGUACUAAAAUCAAUGUAAGUGCCUAAUAUUUCAAUGUCUGUGCAUAUAAAACCUUUUAGAUGCAAUUUCCAGCCACACCAGACUAGAGUUUCAAAGAAUCGGGACUUGAAAGUAAUUAUUCUAACAUGUGAUGGCUAUCUGGAGAUACCCAAGGGCACCUCUGAAUGGGAAAAGAUAACUAAGGGGGCUGCAACGACUGUUCCAGGGACAGAAAUGGAGGAAAUUGUGGACAUCAAAAACUUUAGCCCCGUUUCAAAAAUAUACCUUCCUGUGUUUGCUGCAGUGAAUCUCAGCAUGCACUUUUCUCAAGACGAUGGCGAAAUAUCCUUUUGCGGGGCAAUUGAGAUGAGUGGUUUUCUGGAGCUUAAGUACGUUUUUAACCUCAAAUCUGAGCAUCCUGGCAUACAGACGCUAGUCAAGAUGUUUCUACACAUUUCCCUCAAUACAUUUUCAUAAAAUUUUUUGAUUAUCUACAUCUCAUCCAGCAAAACAUGUCCUGUCGGAUGUAGUGCAUUCGAAGAUAAUUUCAUCCAGCAAAACAUGUCCUGUUGGAUGUAGUGCAUUCGAAGUUAAUUUCAUGACUUAGAAUAAGCAAAGGAGUCCGCUUCAUGCUUUUGAUACGAGUACCAUAUAUUGUCUACUACUAGUUAUAUGACAGAUAUUGGAUAAAUUCAGGUAGUGGUUAAAUAUACAGUGGCAG